rnacentral:rRNA from 1 species
GGGUUGUGAGGUUAAGCGACUAAGCGUACACGGUGGAUGCCACGGCAGUCAGAGGCGAUGAAGGACGUGCUAAUCUGCGAAAAGCGUCGGUAAGGUGAUAUGAACCGUUAUAACCGGCGAUGUCCGAAUGGGGAAACCCAGUGCAAUUCGUUGCACUAUCGUUAACUGAAUACAUAGGUUAACGAGGCGAACCGGGGGAACUGAAACAUCUAAGUACCCCGAGGAAAAGAAAUCAACCGAGAUUCCCCCAGUAGCGGCGAGCGAACGGGGAGCAGCCCAGAGUCUGAAUCAGCUUGUGUGUUAGUGGAACGGUCUGGAAAGUCCGACGGUACAGGGUGAUAGUCCCGUACACCAAAAUGCACAGGCUGUGAACUCGAAGAGUAGGGCGGGACACGUGGUAUCCUGUCUGAAUAUGGGGGGACCAUCCUCCAAGGCUAAAUACUCCUGACUGACCGAUAGUGAACCAGUACCGUGAGGGAAAGGCGAAAAGAACCCCGGCGAGGGGAGUGAAAAAGAACCUGAAACCGUGUACGUACAAGCAGUGGGAGCACCUUCGGGUGUGACUGCGUACCUUUUGUAUAAUGGGUCAGCGACUUAUAUUCUGUAGCAAGGUUAACCGUAUAGGGGAGCCGCAGGGAAACCGAGUCUUAACUGGGCGUUAAGUUGCAGGGUAUAGACCCGAAACCCGGUGAUCUAGCCAUGGGCAGGUUGAAGGUUGGGUAACACUAACUGGAGGACCGAACCGACUAAUGUUGAAAAAUUAGCGGAUGACUUGUGGCUGGGGGUGAAAGGCCAAUCAAACCGGGAGAUAGCUGGUUCUCCCCGAAAGCUAUUUAGGUAGCGCCUCGUGAAUUCAUCUUCGGGGGUAGAGCACUGUUUCGGCUAGGGGGUCAUCCCGACUUACCAACCCGAUGCAAACUACGAAUACCGAAGAAUGUUAUCACGGGAGACACACGGCGGGUGCUAACGUCCGUCGUGAAGAGGGAAACAACCCAGACCGCCAGCUAAGGUCCCAAAGUCAUGGUUAAGUGGGAAACGAUGUGGGAAGGCACAGACAGCCGGGAUGUUGGCUUAGAAGCAGCCAUCAUUUAAAGAAAGCGUAAUAGCUCACUGGUCGAGUCGGCCUGCGCGGAAGAUGUAACGGGGCUAAACCAUGCACCGAAGCUGCGGCAGCGACACUAUGUGUUGUUGGGUAGGGAGCGUUCUGUAAGCCUGCGAAGGUGACCUGUGAGGGUUGCUGGAGGUAUCAGAAGUGCGAAUGCUGACAUAAGUAACGAUAAAGCGGGUGAAAAGCCCGCUCGCCGGAAGACCAAGGGUUCCUGUCCAACGUUAAUCGGGGCAGGGUGAGUCGACCCUAAGGCGAGGCCGAAAGGCGUAGUCGAUGGGAAACAGGUUAAUAUUCCUGUACUUGGUGUUACUGCGAAGGGGACGGAGAAGGCUAUGUUAGCCGGGCGACGGUUGUCCCGGUUUAAGCAUGUAGGCUGGUUAUCGGGCAAAUCCGGAUAAUCAAGGCUGAGGUGUGAUGACGAGGCACUACGGUGCUGAAGUAACAAAUGCCCUGCUUCCGGAAAAGCCUCUAAGCAUCAGGUAACAUCAAAUCGUACCCCAAACCGACACAGGUGGUCAGGUAGAGAAUACCAAGGCGCUUGAGAGAACUCGGGUGAAGGAACUAGGCAAAAUGGUGCCGUAACUUCGGGAGAAGGCACGCUGGUGUGUAGGUGAAGUCCCUGCGGAUGGAGCUGAGACCAGUCGAAGAUACCAGCUGGCUGCAACUGUUUAUUAAAAACACAGCACUGUGCAAACACGAAAGUGGACGUAUACGGUGUGACGCCUGCCCGGUGCCGGAAGGUUAAUUGAUGGGGUUAUCCGUAAGGAGAAGCUCUUGAUCGAAGCCCGGUAAACGGCGGCCGUAACUAUAACGGUCCUAAGGUAGCGAAAUUCCUUGUCGGGUAAGUUCCGACCUGCACGAAUGGCGUAAUGAUGGCGGGCUGUCUCCACCCGAGACUCAGUGAAAUUGAACUCGCUGUGAAGAUGCAGUGUACCCGCGGCAAGACGGAAAGACCCCGUGAACCUUUACUAUAGCUUGACACUGAACAUUGAGCCUUGAUGUGUAGGAUAGGUGGGAGGCUUUGAAGCGUGGACGCCAGUCUGCGUGGAGCCAACCUUGAAAUACCACCCUUUAAUGUUUGAUGUUCUAACGUUGGCCCUUACCGGGGUUGCGGACAGUGUCUGGUGGGUAGUUUGACUGGGGCGGUCUCCUCCCAAAGCGUAACGGAGGAGCACGAAGGUUAGCUAAUCUGGUCGGACAUCAGGAGGUUAGUGCAAUGGCAUAAGCUAGCUUGACUGCGAGCGUGACGGCGCGAGCAGGUGCGAAAGCAGGUCAUAGUGAUCCGGUGGUUCUGAAUGGAAGGGCCAUCGCUCAACGGAUAAAAGGUACUCCGGGGAUAACAGGCUGAUACCGCCCAAGAGUUCAUAUCGACGGCGGUGUUUGGCACCUCGAUGUCGGCUCAUCACAUCCUGGGGCUGAAGUAGGUCCCAAGGGUAUGGCUGUUCGCCAUUUAAAGUGGUACGCGAGCUGGGUUUAGAACGUCGUGAGACAGUUCGGUCCCUAUCUGCCGUGGGCGCUGGAGAAUUGAGGGGCUGCUCCUAGUACGAGAGGACCGGAGUGGACGCAUCACUGGUGUUCGGGUUGUCAUGCCAAUGGCACUGCCCGGUAGCUAAAUGCGGAAGAGAUAAGUGCUGAAAGCAUCUAAGCACGAAACUUGCCCCGAGAUGAGUUCUCCUGAGACUUUAAGUCUCCUGAAGGAACGUUAAAGACGAUGACGUUGAUAGGCCGGGUGUGUAAGCGCAGCGAUGCGUUGAGCUAACCGGUACUAAUGAACCGUGAGGCUUAACCUUACAACGCCGAAG